GAUGAACGCUGGCGGCGUGCCUAAUACAUGCAAGUCGAGCGAACAGACGAGGAGCUUGCUCCUCUGACGUUAUCGGCGGACGGGUGAGUAACACGUGGAUAACCUACCUAUAAGACUGGGAUAACUUCGGGAAACCGGAGCUAAUACCGGAUAAUAUAUUGAACCGCAUGGUUCAAUAGUGGAAGACGGUUUUGCUGUCACUUAUAGAUGGCUCCGCGCCGCAUUAGCUAGUUGGAAGGUAACGGCGUACCAAGGAAACGAGGCGUAGCCGACCUGAGAGGGUGAUCGCCCACCCUGGAACUGAGACACGGUCGCGACUCCUACGGGAGGCAGCAGUAGGGAAUCUUACGCAAUGGGCGAAAGCUUGACGGAGCAACGCCGCGUGAGUGAUGAAGGUCUUCUGAUCGGAAAACUCUGUUAUGAGGGAAGAACAAAUGUGUAAGUACCUAUGCACGUCUUGACGGUACCUAAUCAGAAAGCCACGGCUAACUACGUG
rnacentral:rRNA from 1 species